rnacentral:lncRNA from 1 species
GGCGAAGUUGUGGAGAAAAAGGAACAAUUAUACAAUGUUGGUGGGAGUGUAAAUUAGUUCUACUAUUUUGGAAGACAGUGUGAUGAUUCCUCAAAGACCUAAAGACAGAAAUGUCAUUCAGCCCAGCAAUCCCAUUACUGGGCAUAUACCCAAAAGAACAUAAAUCAUUUUAUUAUAAAGCCACAUACACACAUAUGUUCACUGCAGCACUAUUCAUAACAGCAAGGACAUGGAAUCACCCUAAAUGCCCAACAAUGAUAGACUGGAUAAAGAAAAUGUAGUACAUAUACACCAUGGAAAACUAUGCAGCUAUAAAAAAGAAUAAGAUCAUGUCCUUUGCACAAACAUUAAUGGAGCUGGAGGCCAUUAUCCUUAGCAAACUAAUACAGGAACAGAAAACCAAAUACGGCAUGUUCUCACUUAUAGUGGGAGCUAAACGAUGAGAGCAUACGGACACACAGAGGGAAACAUUAGGGUGGAGGAUAGGAGGAGAGAGAAGAACGGGAAAAAUAACAAAUGGGCAUUAGGCUUAAUACCUGGAUGAUGAAACAAUCUGUACAACAAACCUCCAUGACACAAGUUUACCUGUGUACCAAACUGAUAUGGAAGUGCUGGGAAGGGAAGAGCGUGGUCCCUUUAAAUGAUAGGGAAGGGGAGAAGGGAAGUGCUGGGUAGAGGAGGGCAUGGUCCCUGGCUAGGGCUCCACCCCCACGGACCUAGGUAAGGACAGGCACUUCUGCUUUCAUGCCGAAAUGUAGCAUUUUCCAAGACCACCCUGGCCUGCCGUGCCCCCAUCAUGGGCCUAUAAAAACCAGAGACCUUAGCAAGGCAGGGACGCAAGCAGCUGGACAUCAUAAGGAACACAUCAGCAGAAGAAGACACAAGCAGCUGGUCAUCGAAAGCACACUGGCGGAAGAGCAGGCCAACAGACACCUGCAGGCCAUCAGGCCAUCGAUGGAGUCUCGCUCUGUCGCCCAGGCUGGAGUGCGGUGGCGCGAUCUCCGCUCACUGCAAGCUCCGCCUCCCGGGUUGACGCCAUUCUCCUGCCUCAGCUUCCCGAGUACUGGGACUACAGGCGCCUGCCACCACGCCCAGUAGAGAUGGGGUUUCACCGUGUUAGCCAGGAUGGUCUCCAUCUCCUGACCUCGUGAUCUGUCCGCCUUGGCCUCCCAAAGUGCUGGGAUUACAGGCCACAACCCCCCCACUGCCCCUUCCUCCCCCUUCACAUUGCUCCAUGUGAUGGUUAAUAUUGAGUGUCAACUUGAUUGGAAUGAAGGGUGCGAAGUGUUGUUCCUGGAUGUAUCUGUGAGGAUGUUGCCAAAGAAGACUGACAUUUGAAUCAGUGGACUAGAAGAGGCAGACCCACCCUCAAUCUGGGUGGGCACCAUCUAAUCAGCUGCCAGCACAGCUAAAAUAAAGCAGGCAGGAGAAUGUGGAAGGACUAGACUGGCUGAGUGUUCUGGCCUUCAUCUUUCUCCCAUGCUGUAUGCUUCCUGGCUUUGAACACUGGACUCCAAGUUCUUCGGCUUUUGGACUUUUGGACUUACACCAGUGGUUUGCCAGGGGCUCUUGGGCCUUCAGCCACAGACUGAAGGCUGCACUGUCGGCUUCCCUAUUUUUGAGAUUUGGGAACUCAGACUGGCUUCCUUGCUCCUCAGCUUGCAGAUGGCCUAUUUUGGGACUUCACCUUGUGACAGUAUAUACUCCUUAAUAAACUCCCUUUCACAUAUAAAUUUAUCCUAUUAGUCCUGUCCCACUAGAGAACCCUAAUACACCCCACCUUUCCAGACCUAACCAGUGUAUGUCUUACAUGUACUGAUUCAUGUCUUAUACCUCCAUAAAACAUGGAAAUUCAAGCUGUAGCCAGACCACCUUGGGCAAAUGUUCUCAGGACCUCCUAAGGCUAUGUCAUGGGUAUGUCCUUAACCUUGG